rnacentral:lncRNA from 1 species
CCUUUAUUGACUGUGUUCUCAGUGCCUGGUGUUAGGUGAACUUUGCAUGUAUAUUAUCUCAUUUAAUUAUCCUUUUGUUGUUGUUGUUUUUUGUUUUUUGACACAGGGUCUCUGUUGCCAAGGCUGGAGUGCAGCGGCAUGAUCAUAGUUCAUUGCAGCCUCAACCUCCUGGACUCAAGUAUUCCUCCUGCCUCAGCCUCCUGAGUAGCUAGGACUACAAGAGUGAAAACUGAGGAAGAGACAGCAUUCAAGUAAUUUGCUCAAAGUCAUACAGCAAAGUGAUUGAAAUGCAUUUCCUUCUCUACCUGGUGAACUCCUACUUAUCCUUUAAACUCCUGCACAAAUGUCCCCUCAUUGAGAAGCCUUUCCUGACUCCUUCAGGCACAGCCUGUGGACUUGGUGUGGUGCACCCCAUACCCCCUUCUGUUACAGCACUGAUCUAUUUGUGUUAUGUGUUCACACAGCAACGGGGGUGACUUCUGUGUGCCGGGCACAAUACAGGAGCUUAGAAAAUCACAGUGAACAAAUAUCUGAAUCACUGCCCUCACGGAAUUUGUGGGGAAGGGUGACAUAGACCAUUAUCAAGUAAACACAAAUGAGAUAAUUUCAGGUAUAAUAGGUGCUAUUAAAAAAAAAAACAAACAAACAAAAAACAG